rnacentral:rRNA from 1 species
AAUCAACGCUGGCGGCGUGCCUCAGACAUGCAAGUCGAACGCGAAAGUCCCCUUCGGGGGACAAGUAGAGUGGCGCACGGGUGAGUAACACGUAGGUAAUCUACCUUCGGGUGGGGAAUAACGCAGGGAAACUUGCGCUAAUACCGCAUAAUGCAGCGGCACCACAUGGUGACAGUUGUUAAAGCGGGGGAUUUUCGGACCUCGCGCCUGAAGAGGAGCCUGCGGCAGAUUAGCUAGUUGGUAAGGUAACGGCUUACCAAGGCGACGAUCUGUAGCCGGCCUGAGAGGGCGGUCGGCCACACUGACACUGACAUACGGGUCAGACUCCUACGGGAGGCAGCAGUCGGGAAUUUUGGGCAAUGGGCGAAAGCCUGACCCAGCAACGCCGCGUGAAGGAUGAAAUCCCUCGGGAUGUAAACUUCGCAAGAAUAGGAAGAAUGAGCGAGCGUUAACACCGUUCGUGAUGACGGUACUAUUUGUAAGCUCCGGCUAACUCCGUGCCAGC